GGACCUGUAGCUCAGUGGUUAAGCAUCUGCUUUGAAUGCAAAAGGUCCCAUGUUCAAACCCUGCCAUUUCUA